rnacentral:lncRNA from 1 species
ACGCCACACAGCUAGCUCCCGCGCCACAAGCUCUCGCUGCCAUGGCACUCGUCUCCGCCUCCUCCUCCUCCACCACCGCCGUCGCGGCGCUCCCCAGGAACGGGCAGCGCGCGUCGUCCUUCCUCGGCGGCAGGACGCUGCUGAGGCAGGCCGAGGCGGCGCGGCCGUCGUUCGCCGUGCGCGCCGCGGCGGACCCCGACAGGCCCAUCUGGUUCCCCGGCAGCACCCCGCCGCCGUGGCUCGAUGGCAGCCUCCCCGGCGACUUCGGCUUCGAUCCCUGGGGCCUUGGUGAGUUCUGAUCACUGGUCAAUCUAUCUUCUUGUGAACAUGUAAAUAAUUUCUGAGCGAUAUAGCUGACACCUGAUGCAUGUGCUUGCGAUUACUCUGUGCAGGAUCUGACCCGGAGAGCUUGCGGUGGAACGUGCAGGCGGAGCUGGUGCACUGCCGGUGGGCGAUGCUCGGCGCGGCGGGCAUCUUCAUCCCGGAGUUCCUGACCAAGAUCGGCAUCCUCAACACGCCCUUCUGGUACACCGCCGGCGAGCAGCAGUACUUCACCGACACCACCACCCUCUUCAUCAUCGAGCUCAUCCUCAUCGGCUGGGCCGAGGGCCGCCGCUGGGCCGACAUCAUCAAGCCCGGGAGCGUCAACACUGACCCCAUCUUCCCCAGCAACAAGCUCACCGGCACCGACGUCGGGUACCACCUCUCGCUCCGGCCCCAUGCAUGAACACGCAAGAAAACAUUAUUAUAUUCCCAAAGACUCAUCUAGCUGCUAGCAGUCCUCAUAUCCAUGGCUGAUCUCUGUGUGCUGGAAAUGCAUGUAAAAAUUAAGGUACCCUGGUGGCCUGUGGUUUGACCCGCUCGGCUGGGGCAGCGGCUCGCCGGAGAAGAUCAAGGAGCUGCGCACCAAGGAGAUCAAGAACGGCCGCCUCGCCAUGCUCGCCGUCAUGGGCGCCUGGUUUCAGGCCGAGUACACCGGCACCGGCCCCAUCGACAACCUCUUCGCCCACCUCGCCGACCCCGGCCACGCCACCAUCUUCCAGGUCAGCUGAGAUCAAACUGCACAUACCUCACAGCUUCGAUCUAUACGGUUUGGUUACUGAUUAGUGAACUUUUGUUGUGUUCUUGAUCAGGCCUUCACCCCCAAAUGAGGAGUUGGAGUUAGCGAUCUGAGUGCUGCGUGCUAUACCACGCAUGCAUGAGGUGGAGAUUGUUAUAGGUUGAUGGUCGAUGCGACUUUUUCCUUUUUGUGGGACGGAAUAGACUGUGAUGAUUCAAUGGCUUGUGUGGA